GCCUUCAUGGUGUAGUGGUCAGCACACUCGGCGCGUAUUCGAGAGGUCCGUGGUUCGAGUCCUGGCGAUGGUA
rnacentral:tRNA from 1 species